rnacentral:lncRNA from 1 species
GGAAUCAAAUGUGUGAGGAGAUAGAGGGUUUUUAGGGGAAGAAUAGGGAUUUUUAGAGGAGUGAUACUCCUAUUUGGAAGAGACGGGUGGAAGCUAGGGCACGCUCAAACUGCUUCAAAUAAGGGAUGGGAUGGGGAAGAACUCGAUUCCUAAGGGUCAAUUUGAGGUGUAAGGGGGGAUAGGAGAAGAGUCUAGAGGGAAAGCUUGGGUUUGGAGAAGA